UACGAAGGGGCUAGCGUUGUUCGGAAUCACUGGGCGUAAAGCGCUCGUAGGCGGAUCUUUAAGUCAGAGGUGAAAUCCCAAGGCUCAACCUUGGAACUGCCUUUGAUACUGGGGAUCUCGAGUCCGGGAGAGGUGAGUGGAACUGCGAGUGUAGAGGUGAAAUUCGUAGAUAUUCGCAAGAACACCAGUGGCGAAGGCGGCUCACUGGCCCGGUACUGACGCUGAGGAGCGAAAGCGUGGGAGCAAACAGG
rnacentral:rRNA from 1 species